GGCCGUGUGGCGAAAUGGCAUCGCGUCUGACUACGACUGCGACAGCAUCCUAUCAGGAGAUUGUAGGUUCGAGACCUACCUCGGUCA